rnacentral:tRNA from 1 species
GUUGUCGUGUCCGAGGGGUCAAUGCGAUCGACUAGAAAUCCACUGGGAUCUUCCCGCGCAGGUGCGAAUCCUGCUGACAACG